rnacentral:lncRNA from 1 species
UCGAUCUGUCUUCAGUUUUUGCUUAACAAACAAAGCUAUAGGAGACUAUUUUGUCCACUUUUUUUUGAAAAGGUAUGUUGGUAUGUUUUGGUAAAUUUUUAUAUUUAAACCCUCUAUACGAGUUUCUAAAUAUCUCAGUUAUGCUCAACUUAUCAGAAUUAUGUACAGUCGUUUUAAAAUUUUAAUAUAAAUAUGUUAAAUAAUAAAGUACUCAUUUUUAACGUUAUAAUAAUUAAAUAUUUGCUUUCGUAACAACAUACAGUAACUUUUUGUGACAUUGUUUGAGAAUUCCUGAAAAGUUGAGGCAGCUUAAUAUACAUAAAUGAAUUUAACAAAAUAAUGAAUAUCAGGUAAAACCAGAAUAUAUGAAAGUUGAAACUCACCUACUCACCUGUAAAUAUCAGCAUCAGUAAAUACAAACUGAUUCAAUCAUUUAGCCACUAUUGUUAUCUUUAUUUUGUUCUGCAAAGUCAUGUGGACUGAUGAUGGAAGGGUCGGACCAAAACAUGUCUAAUUUCUCGAGUGCAAUGAUCAUAUAAAAACGUGUAACCUAGAGCCUUUACCAAAAAACAAUAUGAUAGAUUACAUAUGUAAUAUAUAUGUUUAUGUGUAUGCCGUGAAGACCAACGGUGGGAUUCUUAUCCGGGACGAUCCAACGAAGUGAAAUGGAAGAAGCAAAGCUCUGUCGUUUUAUAUGGUUUGGACGCAACCAAAGCUUUAUGUCAGUAAAAUUUCCCACCAAAGUGGUCCGAUGGAUGUGUCCAUCAAACUGUAACAUCAACGAAAAGACCUUUACUACAC